UUGAACGCUGGCGGCAUGCUUUACGCAUGCAAGUCGCACGGUAACAGGCCGCAAGGUGCUGACGAGUGGCGAACGGGUGAGUAAUGCAUCGGAACGUGCCCAGUCGUGGGGGAUAACUACUCGAAAGAGUAGCUAAUACCGCAUACGAUCUAUGGAUGAAAGCGGGGGACCGUAAGGCCUCGCGCGAUUGGAGCGGCCGAUGUCAGAUUAGGUAGUUGGUGGGGUAAAGGCUCACCAAGCCAACGAUCUGUAGCUGGUCUGAGAGGACGACCAGCCACACUGGGACUGAGACACGGCCCAGACUCCUACGGGAGGCAGCAGUGGGGAAUUUUGGACAAUGGGCGCAAGCCUGAUCCAGCAAUGCCGCGUGCAGGAAGAAGGCCUUCGGGUUGUAAACUGCUUUUGUACGGAACGAAACGGCUCUGGUUAAUACCCGGGGCUAAUGACGGUACCGUAAGAAUAAGCACCGGCUAACUACGUG
rnacentral:rRNA from 1 species